rnacentral:rRNA from 1 species
AGUGAACGCUGGCGGUAGGCCUAACACAUGCAAGUCGAACGGCAGCACAGUAAGAGCUUGCUCUUACGGGUGGCGAGUGGCGGACGGGUGAGGAAUACAUCGGAAUCUACUUUUUCGUGGGGGGUAACGUAGGGAAACUUACGCUAAUACCGCAUACGACCUACGGGUGAAAGCAGGGGAUCUUCGGACCUUGCGCGAUUGAAUGAGCCGAUGUCGGAUUAGCUAGUUGGCGGGGUAAAGGCCCACCAAGGCGACGAUCCGUAGCUGGUCUGAGAGGAUGAUCAGCCACACUGGAACUGAGACACGGUCCAGACUCCUACGGGAGGCAGCAGUGGGGAAUAUUGGACAAUGGGCGCAAGCCUGAUCUAGCCAUACCGCGUGGGUGAAGAAGGCCUUCGGGUUGUAAAGCCCUUUUGUUGGGAAAGAAAAGCAGCAGGUUAAUACCCCGCUGUUCUGACGGUACCCAAAGAAUAAGCACCGGCUAACUUCGUG